rnacentral:rRNA from 1 species
UACGUAGGCAGCAAGCGUUGUUCGGAGUUACUGGGCGGAAAGAGUGUGUAGGCGGUGCUCUAAGUUUGGUGUGAAAUCCCCCGGCUUAACCUGGGAACUGCGUCUGAUACUGGGAGGCUUGAGUAUGGGAGAGGGAUGUAGAAUUCCAGGUGUAGCGGUGAAAUGCGUAGAUAUCUGGAGGAAUACCGGUGGCGAAGGCGGCAUCCUGGACCAUAACUGACGCUGAGGCGCGAAAGCUAGGGGAGCAAACGGG